UACUCACCUUACUUUAGAGCAAUUCAAAUGAGGUACAGCCCAUUUGACCCAGGAUACAACCUUCACUAACGGGUAAUAUUCAUCAAUCACUUUUAAGUAGGCCUAAAAACAGCCACCUUUUAAAAAGCGUCAAAGCUUAACUCUGUUAACACUAAUUUAACAACCCCCACAGACCCCUUAAAUAGUACCGAGAACUUCUAUAAUUCUAUAGAACCUCUUAUGCUAAAACUAGUAACAAGAGAUAAACCCUCUCUUAAUGUAAACAUAAGCCAGAAAGAACCCUUCACUGGCAAUUAACAGACCCCCAUAAAAGUAGCAACUCCCCUAGAAAACCCUACUUUCCACCUCCACUGUUAACCUAACACCAGAACAUUACAAGAAAGAUUAAAAGAAAAAGAAGGAACUCGGCAAACUCUAGUCCCGCCUGUUUACCAAAAACAUCGCCUCUUGCCCCCACCAUAAGAGGUCCAGCCUGCCCAGUGACUCUGUUUAACGGCCGCGGUAUCCUAACCGUGCGAAGGUAGCGUAAUCACUUGUCUUCUAAAUAAAGACUAGUAUGAAAGGCAUUACGAAGACUAAGCUGUCUCCUUUUUCUAAUCAGUGAACCUAAUCUCCCCGUGAAGA
rnacentral:rRNA from 1 species